UGGGGGGAUUCGUGGCCAACGGGUGAGUAACACGUGAGUAACCUGCCCUUGACUCUGGGAUAAGCCUGGGAAACUGGGUCUAAUACUGGAUACGACCUUCCCACGCAUGUGGUGUUGGUGGAAAGCUUUUGUGGUUUUGGAUGGACUCGCGGCCUAUCAGCUUGUUGGUGGGGUAAUGGCCUACCAAGGCGACGACGGGUAGCCGGCCUGAGAGGGUGGACGGCCACACUGGGACUGAGACACGGCCCAGACUCCUACGGGAGGCAGCAGUGGGGAAUAUUGCACAAUGGGCGCAAGCCUGAUGCAGCGACGCCGCGUGAGGGAUGAAGGCCUUCGGGUUGUAAACCUCUUUCAGUAGGGAAGAAGCGAAAGUGACGGUACCUGCAGAAGAAGCGCCGGCUAACUACGUGCCAGCAGCCGCGGUAAUACGUAGGGCGCAAGCGUUAUCCGGAAUUAUUGGGCGUAAAGAGCUCGUAGGCGGUUUGUCGCGUCUGCCGUGAAAGUCCGGGGCUUAACUCCGGAUCUGCGGUGGGUACGGCAGACUUGAGUGAUGUAGGGAGACUGGAAUUCCUGGUGUAGCGGUGAAAUGCGCAGAUAUCAGAAGAACACCGAUGGCGAAGGCAGGUCUCUGGGCCAUUAACUGACGCUGAGGACCGAAAGCAUGGGGAGCGAAACAGGAAUAAAUACCCUGGUAGUCCAUGCCGAAACGUUGGGC
rnacentral:rRNA from 1 species